rnacentral:lncRNA from 1 species
GUUUGAAAGUCUCCUCCCAGAAGAAGAUUACGAAGUGGAGUUUGUCCAGAACGCGCUGGCACAGUCUCCUGAAGAAGCCUCCAGUCGGGUAAAGCUUUAAUCUUUACUGCUUCACAGUUGAGUGAUAGUUUCAGCUUCACCACAUCUCCACCUCUUCUCUCUCAGGGCCAUGGUGUUCGCUCACAUGUGCCUCUGCAGCACUUCAUACACUUUAUCGUCCUGGUUGCCAACAUACUUCAAAGAAUCAUUUCCGGACGCCAAAGUACGUUUUCUCAAUAUUUUCUAAUAAACCGCCGGCUGCACAGAUUGUUUCAAUAAAGCCAUAAGAAAAGGGCUUCAUUUCUUGGCUCUGCUUCUUCUCUUGCAGGGAUGUGUGUAUAAUGUGAUUCCAUGGCUUGUUGCAAUUCCAUCAGCCCUCGCUGGAGGAUACACCUCAGACUUUCUCAUCAAUCAAGGUAUGAAACAAAUUAUCCUAACCCUAACCCUUUCAUCGCAAACUAAAAGAUGUUGACUCCUUGUGUUUUCUCUGUAGGAUAUGAAGUCUCUUUGGUGAGAAAGAUCAUGCAGGUGAGUGUUGAAACAGGUGUCCAGUACUCCAGUGUAGGGGAGACCGGGGUUGGUUGACUCACUUUUCACUCCAUAGUUUAUGUGAGAAUGUAUUUGAACGAGUAGUAAAUAAAAGGUUAAGGUAUCAGCUAUAGGGCAUCCCGGUAGCACAGGCGACACAUAUACAAAGGCUGAGUCCGACCCGUGGCUGUAUGUCUUUCUCCUUGUCUCUCUCCCCCUUUCACAUUCUACACUUCUCUAUCUCCCCCUUUCACAUUCUACACUUCUCUAUCUCCCCCUUUCACAUUCUACACUUCUCUAUCUCCCCCUUUCACAUUCUACACUUCUCUAUCUCCCCCUUUCACAUUCUACACUUCUCUAUCUCCCCCUUUCACAUUCUACACUUCUCUAUCUCCCCCUUUCACAUUCUACACUUCUCUAUCUCUCUCCCCCUUUCACAUUGUACACUUCUCUCUCUCCCCUUUCACAUUCUACACUUCUCUCUCUCUCCCUUUCACAUUCUACACUUCUCUUUCUCUCUCCCUUUCACAUUCUACACUUCUCUCUCUCUCUCUCUCCCUUUCACAUUCUACACUUCUCGCUCUUCCCUCUUUCACAUUCUACACUUCUCUCUCUCUCUCCCUUUCACAUUCUACACUUCUCGCUCUCCCUCUUUCACAUUCUACACUUCUCUCUCUCUCUCCCUUUCACAUUCUACACUUCUCGCUCUCCCUCUUUCACAUUCUACACUUAUCUCUCUCCCCAUUUCACAUUCUACACUUCUCUAUCUCUUUCACAUUCUACACUUCUCUCUCUCUUUCACAUUCUACACUUCUCUCUCUCUUUCACAUUCUACACUUCUCUCUCUCUUUCACAUUCUACACCUUCUCUCUCUCUCCCUCUUUCACAUUCUACACUUCUCUCUCCCUUUCACAUUCUACACUUCUCUCUCUCUUUCACAUUCUACACUUCUCUCUCUCUUUCACAUUCUAAACUUCUCUCUCUCUCUAUACUUCUCUCUCUCUUUCACAUUCUACACUUCUCUCUCUCCUUCUACAAUUCUCUCUCUCCCCCUUUCAAAUUGUUGUACACUGACCCUGUUGCACAAAUAAUACAACCUCGAAACAAAUUAAGAUCCACAAGGGGUGCCGUCAGGGGUGUCCUCUAUCACCACUUUUGUUUAUAAUGGCAAUAGAACCGCUGGCUAUAGCUGUUCGGUCUCAUCCAAAGAUCUCUGGUACUAUAGGUCAAACAGACCACCGCUUAGCUUUAUAUGCUGAUGACGUCAUCGUGUUUCUCAGGGAUUUGGAGAGAUCAAUUCCAGUAUUAUUAGAAGUGAUGGGAACAUUUGGUGAAUCUUCCAGUUACAAAAUUAAUCAUUCCAAAUCUUCCAUAAUGUUAUUAAAUUCCAAAGAGAGAAGUAGUCCGACUGCAUCAGUCUCCCAGUUUAAAGUUGUAGAUAAUUUUACAUAUUUGGGUGUAAAUAUAGUGCCCAAUAUAACAGAUGUGGUGAAUUCUAAUUACGAUCCUGUUAUGGAGUCAAUUACCAGAACAAUUGAUCGAUGGAAGCCGAUGUCCAUCUCCUUAGUAUAUUAAAAAUGAACAUACUCCCCAAGUUGCUCUAUCUAUUCCAAAACAUCCUCCUGCCUCCUCCUCCAAACUUAUUUUCAAAGUUAAGGAAAUUAUUUUUAAGUGAUUAAUUAAUUAUUCUGUCGUGUCAGAGGCAAAG